rnacentral:rRNA from 1 species
CCUACGGGUGGCAGCAGUGAGGAAUAUUGGUCAAUGGCCGGAAGGCUGAACCAGCCAAGCCGCGUGAAGGACGAAGGUGCCAAGCAUUGUAAACUUCUUUUGUCAAGGGACAAAAUCAGGCUCGAGAGCCUGACCGAGGGUACUUGAAGAAAAAGCAUCGGCUAACUCCGUGCCAGCAGCCGCGGUAAUACGGAGGAUGCGAGCGUUAUCCGGAUUUAUUGGGUUUAAAGGGUGCGUAGGCGGUCUGUUAAGUCAGCGGGAAAAGCCCGGGGCUCAACCCCGGCGAGCCGUUGAAACUGGCUGUCUUGAGAUGUCGAGAGGUAUGCGGAAUGCGCAGUGUAGCGGUGAAAUGCUUAGAUAUUGCGCAGAACUCCGAUUGCGAAGGCAGCAUACCGGCGGCGGUCUGACGCUGAGGCACGAAAGCGUGGGUAUCGAACAGGAUUAGAUACCCCUGUAGUC